rnacentral:tRNA from 2 species
GGAGAGGUGGCAGAGCGGUUGAUUGCACCGGUCUUGAAAACCGGCGUCCCUUCACGGGGACCGUGGGUUCGAAUCCCACCCUCUCCGCCA